UUGACAUCCACGGAAUUUGGCAGAGAUGCCUUAGUGCCUUCGGGAACCGUGAGACAGGUGCUGCAUGGCUGUCGUCAGCUCGUGUUGUGAAAUGUUGGGUUAAGUCCCGCAACGAGCGCAACCCUUAUCCUUUGUUGCCAGCGAUUCGGUCGGGAACUCAAAGGAGACUGCCGGUGAUAAACCGGAGGAAGGUGGGGAUGACGUCAAGUCAUCAUGGCCCUUACGGCCAGGGCUACACACGUGCUACAAUGGCGCAUACAAAGAGAAGCGACCUCGCGAGAGCAAGCGGACCUCAUAAAGUGCGUCGUAGUCCGGAUUGGAGUCUGCAACUCGACUCCAUGAAGUCGGAAUCGCUAGUAAUCGUAGAUCAGAAUGCUACGGUGAAUACGUUCCCGGGCCUUGUACACACCGCCCGUCACACCAUGGGAGUGGGUUGCAAAAGAAGUAGGUAGCUUAACCUUCGGGAGGGCGCUUACCACUUUGUGAUUCAUGACUGGGGUGAAGUCGUAACAAGGUAGGCGUAGCGAG
rnacentral:rRNA from 1 species